rnacentral:tRNA from 1 species
GUAUAAGUGCCAGAAUUAAUGGGUUGGUUUUAAGCGCCAAUUAUAAAGAGAUUAUUUCUUUCUUAUACU